UACGAGGGGGGCAAGCGUUGUUCGGAAUUAUUGGGCGUAAAGGGUGCGUAGGCGGUUUGGUAAGUCUUAUGUGAAAUCUACAGGCUCAACUUGUAGUCUGCAUGAGAAACUGCCGGGCUUGAGUAUGGGAGAGGUGAGUGGAAUUCCUGGUGUAGCGGUGAAAUGCGUAGAUAUCAGGAGGAACACCUGUGGCGAAAGCGGCUCACUGGACCGAACUAACUGACGCUGAUGCACGAAAGCUAGGGGAGCAAACAGG
rnacentral:rRNA from 1 species